UACGUAGGGUGCAAGCGUUAAUCGGAAUUACUGGGCGUAAAGCGUGCGCAGGCGGUUUUGUAAGUCUGACGUGAAAUCCCCGGGCUUAACCUGGGAACUGCAUUGGUGACUGCAUUGCUGGAGUAUGGCAGAGGGGGGUGGAAUUCCACGUGUAGCAGUGAAAUGCGUAGAGAUGUGGAGGAACACCGAUGGCGAAGGCAGCCCCCUGGGCCAAUACUGACGCUCAUGCACGAAAGCGUGGGGAGCAAACAGG
rnacentral:rRNA from 1 species